UGACUCCCCUAUGGUCUCCAGAGCCAACAUUCACAACGUCUCCAUGGUCAACAUCCCCUACAAGAGCACCUCCUCUCAGCAGGUUCAAUCCCUCUGAGGAGAGAAAAAA
rnacentral:ribozyme from 1 species